GCCGGGAUCGCAUAAUCUGGUAUUGCACAAGCCUGGAAAGCUUGACCCUUUUGGGUGUCUGGGUUCAAAUCCCAGUCCCGGCG
rnacentral:tRNA from 1 species